rnacentral:rRNA from 1 species
AGUUUCUGCCCUAUCAGCUUUGGAUGGUAGGGUAUUGGCCUACCAUGGCGGUAACGGGUAACGGGGAAUUAGGGUUCGAUUCCGGAGAGGGAGCCUGAGAAACGGCUACCACAUCCAAGGAAGGCAGCAGGCGCGUAAAUUACCCAAUCCUAAUUCAGGGAGGUAGUGACAAUAAAUAACAAUGCCGGGCUUUUCAAGUCUGGCAAUUGGAAUGAGAACAAUUUAAAUCCCUUAUCGAGGAUCAAUUGGAGGGCAAGUCUGGUGCCAGCAGCCGCGGUAAUUCCAGCUCCAAUAGCGUAUAUUAAAGUUGUUGCAGUUAAAAAGCUCGUAGUUGGAUUUCUGGAUUGAACGUCCGGUCCGCGUACUUUUGGUGCG